rnacentral:lncRNA from 1 species
CGGGCAGCGGCGUGAGCUAGCCUGUCGGCGCGUUGGGCUGGUGCCGCAUGCAUCGGCUUCCUGGAGGGCGUGGGUCAUCGCGGGUAUCAGGCCUGUGCAGUUUGCAGUGCGGGCGCCGCUGUGGCUCUUGGUGUGGGUCCCGACCUGUGUGCGCAGAGUGUCCGGGCUCGAUGGGUACUGGCCAGGUACGGUAGUGGUGCGUGGCUCUGUGCAUCUUCGUUGUGCAGGUGUUGCAGGCGGUCUGGCAUGGUGCGCUGCCGCCAGCGGGUGUGAGCGCUGAUUUGCUAUGGCUGGUGGGCGACAUCAGGUCCGUAGCGGGCAUGGCGCUCUUCUCCUGGAAGUCCCUGCUGGUCGCCCAGGAGCGCGGGGCUUGGAUAUUGGUGACUUGGCUCUGGUGCGGAAGGGUGGGCCGCGGUUGUUGUUGAAUGUCUGCAGUAACGACGACGGUGGCCCUGAGGCUGGAGGAAGUGGCUGUUAGGCCAUCAGCGUGAUUGCGUGUGGUCGCGUCGCAUUGGCACGACUUCCUGAUCUUAUUUUGUGACUUGAUCAACAGCUGUACAAGCAGGGCUGGAACAACACGCCUUUGCCUGGGCAGUACCAUUACUUGUGAAGUGUACCUGCCGAUGUCAGCCAGGCAUCGUUGUAUCAUGUGCAAACAAGUAGGUGUGGCAGCCAGUCAGACAUCUUUCAUUCUUUAUAUUGCAGCCGACCAAGAAUGGCAUAUAUACAGGCGAUGCAUUACUUGUAUGUGUGUGUGCGUGUGUGUGUGUGUGGAUGGAUGCGGUUUCGAGAUGGUGUGUACGUUUCAGCGUGCAAUCCUAUGCUUGAAAGUACCAACCGCUUAAUGUUACACCAGGACGGGUGACCGAACACGGCGCAGGUUAGUGCCCAUGCCGCUUUCGGGAUUCGAGUAGCAGCCUACGGGAAGAGCGUACAUCAUGCGCUCCGGUAUUUUGAAGUCAGUGUCUGUUGCUAACUUGGCAUGUAUUUGCUUUGUGGAUGCGUAAAGUGAGUCUGCGGAUUGUCUGUCUCGCGGUGCUUGUUGGAUGCAUGUAUGCGGAUGGGCGAUUCCCCCAAUGGGCGUCAGUCUUUGCACGCCCGGCAGUUUAUGAGGGCUGCGCUCUCAUGUUGUACUAUAUAAGCGGUUUCACAGUUAGGAACCCCAUUGCAGAGGUAGGUCCGAGCUACGCCUGCCAGUAGAGAUCAUUCGAGUGUAAACGCCCUGAGGAGUUCCUCAAGACUCAAUUUGCAUCAAGCUGGGCGCUCUUGAGGUGCAGACAUGUGGCCAUGCAGCGGCUUAAGAAGGAACUUGACACAGGCUUGGCGUGGGUACCACAGUGAUCCAGAAAGGAAAGCGAGCGUCAGCUGAUGCAUGUGCGAUGGGACAGUGGUAAGGCAGGUUGGUGAAGUCCCGUAGGGUGCAGCUGAUCCCCAGACCCCAGGAGAUGGCAAACAAUAUGCAACGGCAGCUGAUGCUACCGGUUGCGUCGUCAAUGCGGUCCACACGCGCACGCACCACUCCGCACCUCCGCUCCCCUACUGCUUCGCACCGCCACCCUGCGCCCACCGCUCAUCCCUACACCAAUUCUGGUUACCUUCCUAGGAACCGCCUGCAGGUGCGCUGCGGCUCCGCAUCGCGAGUGUGACGUUGCUGUGUGUCUGUGUGGUGCUAUUGCUUGGCCGGGCGCCCAGAGCGUGAGGAAUGCGCGUUUGCAAACUUCCAGCCAGCCAGCAACUUGUCGGGGCUUGUGAAGUGGUGAUGAUUGACGAGGCCGUCAGGCCAAGUACGGGCAGGGCAAGGCCUCGGCUAGCCUCGGGGGGCACAGUCUCGCGGCAAGCCUGUGCGUGCGGCCAGCUCUGAAAUGCAGUGCGCCCAAAGACCCCAGGAUGCAACAAGCAGCAGGCAGAGGAGAUGCGAAGAGAAGUGGCGCAGUUGGCACUUGGCAGCGUUAAGCGCUGUGUCAGUGGAUAUGGCAGAUGCUUAAUAAUGCGCUGUUCCUCUCGCCUGCAUCAUGUUGGUAGCUUGUCGGUACUGUAACUUUGGUGUUCGACCAGCCGCGCGCUCAUGGGACCCUGCCAUCUACAGGAGGGUGGGAAAUCCGGAAAGUUGUGGAUUGAGUCUGGUCGUACGGUUGCGGAAACCGGGCUGUGGCAGCAACUUAGUUGUGGUUGGCGGGGGUUCCAAGUUUAGGGCGGCGGCCUGUGCCGACAACUAAGAUUGGGCCGGGGGGCCGUGUCAGAUGCGGCCGGGGCCCCCGCGCGGCAACUCAGAUGCGGUCCGACGCCAUUGAAGAUUGCGCGCGGGGGAGGUAUCCACAACCUAGUUUCCCGACAUCAGAUGGGAUAUCCCCUCAGAAAGGAGCUUAGGAGAACACAGGACGGUCGGGGGAUUCACAGGAUGGUGAGUGGAUGGCGGGCCGGGUGAUGGCGGUGGAUAGCGGCACCUGCUGACAACCCGGCAGCUGGGGAGGGAUUGCCUGCCUAAAUGUUCAUAUACAUAUUUAAUCUGCUGAAGUAUUGAUAUAUGCUCGCAUUUCCCAGCAAGGCUUCUGGCAGCUCCCCUCUCUUGGUUCAGUCCCUGAACUGAGCGAGUUAGAAGCUCCAUAGUAAGGGAUAUGGUUGACAGUAUGUAACACUACAGGUCCAUUAAAACUGUAGGCAGUUUGGGGGUGUUUGCCAAAGACGAACCACUGGUUCGCGGCAGCUUGCUGGCAACUUUGCCCAUUUAAGGGCGCCCGGGGUGUCUACGAUCGUUCCAACUGCUGAGUGGUACUCAAUUAAAGCACUGCCUAGGACUAUAAAGCGUGCUGAAGGAACUGCUGAUCACCAGAGUUCUUGCUUCCUUGCCUUCUUUCAAGGCUUCGCACACGAAUAUAGUUUGUUGCAUAGAGCCUGUGUCUGCAGUCUGUGUCUGCAGCCUAUAUGUAAGAGAGUUGACGGGGAUGGAAGCGGGCUGCCCGUUCUUGGGCUACCCGGCUUCCGCUGUGCGUGCCGCCAUGCAGCCGUGCACCUACUACCGUGCAAACACUACACAACGAUGCUUGGCUCUCAAAACCAGAUAUGAGCGCGCGCCAACUGAGUUGUGCAGCGGGGCCGCCCUGCUAAACUCAGAUUGGGAUGCGUGUCAACCGAGUUGCGCGGCGGGACUGGUCUCCCAAACUUGGAUUGGGGCGGGCGGCAACUGAGAUGCGCGGCGGGACCGGUCCCCCAAACUCAGAUUGGGGCGGGUGGCAGCUGAGAUGCGCAGCGGCACCCCUGCCGCCAACCAAGAUGCCGCCCGGCGGCAACCAAGAUGCCGCGCGAGACAGAUGCCCGACCAGACCCACCCCCCAAGAUGCCCCCCGGCGGCAACUUUCUCACCCUUCCACAAGCAGCAGGCAGAGGAGAUGCGAAGAGAAGUGGCGCAGUUGGCACUUGGCAGCGUUAAGCGCUGUGUCAGUGGAUAUGGCAGAUGCUUAAUAAUGCGCUGUUCCUCUCGCCUGCAUCAUGUUGGUAGCUUGUCGGUACUGUAACUUUGGUGUUCGACCAGCCGCGCGCUCAUGGGACCCUGCCAUCUACUGGGAUUUGAGAAUUAGCUGCGCCCUACGGGACCUCGCCAAGACGCCAACCUGCCUAAACCCUGUCCCAUCGCACACUCAUCCCUAUACCACAUCACACUGCCCACCCCCACCCCACGCAUUUCCCACAUUCGCCGCCCUGCCCGUCUGACCGCAGAUACCCAGCUGCCGAUGGCGGGUGCAAACCGUGGCAGUACCCUGGUCCCAGUGCUAUUCUGUAUCUUCCUGUCUGCCCGGCAGAAAUUUGCCCUGUAAGAGCCUAUGGCGCCAUACUUUGUUUAUGAAAGCGUGAAAACAGCAAGAUUCUGAGGGGUCUCCAUAAGAAUCGCAGAAGACAUUUCGGGGUGACUGAGGUUCCCGAGAAUACUCUACGGUCGUGUCCUGCUGGCACCAUAGAGACACACCAAAGUAGAGCAGCCUUCUACCAGGGUAGUGACUCCGUGGGUGCGUGCGCGUGAGCGUGGGUGAGGGCGCCUGGGGUUUGCAUCUACACUUAUUCCCAAGAUGCUAUGGCAGAACCCAGCCAGGUUACAACGCAAGGAAGUGUGCUACGCAGUUUUGUUAUGGUUACGACGGCGACCCUGGCUCUGCCACGAGUUGCGUACUGCUUUCCUGCGUAUGGCCCUUUGUCAAACCCCGCCUCCGCUCAUCAUGCACGCAAAGCACACGCGCACAAGCACACACGCGCGCAUCCCGGGUCAGAGAUAAAACCACACGGACGCUCACACCAACAUCAUCUCGCCUCCUCACACAUCCUGCAACGUACAGCUCGAGCAACCAAGUACUUGUCACAAGCUUCACUCGCACCAUGCACCACACGCCCUGGCGACAUUGGCUACAAUUGGUUAUGGUACAGCUCCCUUCCCAUCCUCCACGCCACUCCUCCACGCGUGCCCCCCGCACGCGCACUCUCCCCUCACGCGCCAACGCCAACGUAUCCCGCCCUCCCUCCCCACGCAAUACGCUGCCAAUCAGCGCUGCUGUGCACUUCAGUUCUGCGGGUGCUGCCAGGGAUGCGCCGGCAGCCGCUGCAGCCGCGCCGCCGCCUCCCGCCGCCGCCCCUCCUCCUCCGCGCGCUCGCGCUCCCGCGCCGUGUCAGCUUGGAAAAUGGGCUGAGCCCCGCAUCAGGGAGGACUGACUGCAAAUACGAUGCCCCACGUCUAGGCCAUGUCAAGCAGAGAGCACAGAUCCCAUUGGGCCUCUUUCCAGUGGGGACUUUAGCCAUUUAGUGCCUCCCACUUUAGCGAAUUUCGUUUGCGACACUAACUAGCAGCACACCUUGGCCAUUUAUCUUGACAUUUAGCUAGGCGCACCCAAAGGCAACUUGGGUGUUUGCCGCGUGUCACCCCUCACGAAAGCUGCUCCCCGGCGAGAUCGCCGAAGCCGACCGAGGUCGGCUUUACACCGCCCCGCUUAGCGUCCUACUAUAUUUAGUGUUUUUAAGCGACCCCACAAAUCAGCGGAGUGCGCGCAACAGGGCGCCACUAAAUCGACUGGAAAGAGGCCCAUUGCCAAAAUUUCGGCCAUUGGGUGCCGUGGCCUGCACCUGCAACCGUGGCGCAUGCAAUCAGAAAUUCACCAGUCAUCUAAUCGUCAUAGCUCACAGCUACUUAAGCACAGCUACUUGAGUACUACAUGCUGUGUGCAGCUCUCGUGAGAGAUCCUGCCUUCGCACAGCUUAGCGCAGCGUCAUAGCAAGUUGACGUGUUUUCGUGCUCACUUCAGCCGCUAGGGCUGUUACUCCGGGAGUGGCAGGAAUUUUGGGAUUAAUUGGCAACAUGGCCAGCCAGACCGAAGUUAUUGAUGCUGUCAACGCUGCUGCUACCUCUUUCGGCAUGGACGGCACGGAGUUAGAGCAGCUCCUGGGCUACGUGGCCUCAAUGCCGGCGGAUGAGUACCGCGACUUCACUAGUCCGGGUGUCCAGGACCCCAAGGCAAUCUUGGAGCUCGUGCGGAGUCGAUUUAAGGCUCAAGAAGGUAGGAUAAUCUCCGUCUGUGGUGCCGUUAAGCCGUUUGGGUUUUAUUGGCGCAGUGUGGCUCCUGCUGGCCUUGGUGGUGAGCAGCAGCCCUGCGUUCCUCUUGCGCAGGCGUGGCGUCUGGCUCUCAGCACAGUGCGAGCAUCACAGGUGAGUUGUGGGUCGACCAGCUUCCUAAAACGUCGGACGGGCAGUGGGGCGCUACCACUGGGUUUUGGGCGGGUUGGCAUCUGUGCGCAACCAGACAGGUUGCCAAGGCUAUCACAUCAUGGAAGUGGUGCAUCGCCUCACGGCCCACCUCUUGUACUUGUGGUCCGUCGCAGCGGUGCCGGCUGCCGGAGCUCCCGCGCCCACUGCGCCGCCGUACGUCGACAUGGCGAUGCUGAAGGACUUGCUGGCGGAGCAGGCGCGGUCGCUGAAGGACGGGCUGGCGGAGCAGGCGCGGUCGCUGAAGGACGCGCUUGCGGAGCAGGCGCGGUUGCAGAACGCCGCGCUUGCGGAGCAGGCGCGGUUGCAGAACGACACGCUGGCGCGGUCGCUGGCGGAGCAGGCGCGGUCGCUGAAGGACGCGCUGGCGGAGCAGGCGCGGUUGCAGAACGCCGCGCUUGCGGAGCAGGCGCGGUUGCAGAACGACGCGCUGGCGCGGUCGCUGGCGGAGCAGGCGCGGUCGCUGAAGGACGCGCUGGCGGAGCAGACGCGGUCGCUGACGGCCAAGGUGCAGGAAGUUCUGGUUGACAACGCGCAGCGGCGUCACCACCCCGGGGCUUAUCUCCGACGGGAGUGGGCUAUGGUAAGCUGGAUCCUUACCAGGCUUGGGUUGAAGGCUCUGACAGUGCACGACGGGUCGAUCUGCACGACAGUGUAGAGCUUCGUGGGGCUUCGUGUGGAUGUUUUUCUGAUGCUGACUAUGUCCUUAUCUAUCGUUGACCGACAACCCGAAUUCGAACCCCCCUACCGUCUACCACUUAUCUAGUCAUGAAUGCCCCCGCCCCGGCCCUGCGUUGCUGUGUUGCCCCUGCGCCAUGCCUGACCGCGCCCGCUUUUUACGUGCUUGCCCCGCAUGUUCUGCCUGGUGGCGAUGGCGUGGCGUCUGCGCACCGAGCGCGCAGGUGAGUCGCGGGUAUCGGCCCGGAUCGGCCAAAGUAUGCAGCCGCAGCUCGCACUUCUGCCAUGAUUGGGCAACGCAUGCCGAAUACAGUUUACGUGCUCGCAAAGCGUUUUCACUACUACGCGCCACAUGCGUCCGCUUUUCCUAGCUAAACGGGCACUGUCACUUUCACGGAGGGGUAACGAGCUGGCCGCUCAUUCGACAAUAAUUUCGUCUGCUGGUCUUCAGUGCAUCCUGUACCGCUUUCCUAACCAUCCUUGCACCCCCCCCCCCCCCGAUGCACUGGGAACCUUGCAGAGCAAGGCGGCAGUGCCCAAGGAGAAGAAGGUGUUGUGACCGUGUGGGAUAUUAGUGCUCAUAGCCGUCGGAGCGGCACCUGUGGCGCUGUCCGCGGUACUGCUGCUCGGCCAACAGUACUGCCGCGUGACAGCAGUCGUGGCGGCUAUGCGAAUGCGGGCAGCGGCGUGGGCUAGCCUGUCGGCGCGUUGGGCUGUUGCCGCAUACAUCGGCUUCCUGGAGGGCGUGGGUCAUCGCGGGUAUCAGGCCUGUGCAGUUUGCAGUGCGGGCGCCGCUGUGGCUCUUGGUGUGGGUCCCGACCUGUGUGCGCAGAGUGUCCGGGCUCGAUGGGUACUGGCCAGGUACGGUAGUGGUGCGUGGCGCUGUGCAUCUUCGUUGUGCAGGUGUUGCAGGCGGUCUGGCAUGGUGCGCU